CGCGGCCGGCACAUGAGCGGCCCUCGCGGCACCGAGCGGGCAGGACCUUGCUCCCCACCGGUGCUCAGCAUCCCCCUGCCCGGCACGGCUCCAGCACCCACCUUGGAGCAGGCUGUGUCAGGGUGCUGACACCCAUCCCCUGCCAUGCUCACAGGACCCCCCAGGCCGGACAGCCACCCCUCCAGGGCAGCGGGCAGGACCGGACAAGCUUGGCUCUCGGUGGUAUUUCUAUCCCUAUCUCUCUGCUGAAAUCCCCCGGCUCAGCAUGCAAAGGAUGGUUAGAUCCUCCCCAAAGCAUGCAAGGAGGUGGCCAUGGACAUGGCCACGGGUGAUCAGGCUUUGUCCCAGUGGCCGUGCCCACGUGCAAGCACGCCGACAGGGAAUUAUUAACAUUCAGACGAGGCCCGCUGAAUAAAACGAGCUAACACAAA